UUAAGCGACUAAGCGUACACGGUGGAUGCCCUGGCAGUCAGAGGCGAUGAAGGGCGUGCUAAUCUGCGAUAAGCGCCGGUAAGGUGAUAUGAACCGUUAUAACCGGCGAUACCCGAAUGGGGAAACCCAGUGUGACUCGUCACACUAUCAUUAACUGAAUCCAUAGGUUAAUGAGGCGAACCGGGGGAACUGAAACAUCUAAGUACCCCGAGGAAAAGAAAUCAACCGAGAUUCCCCCAGUAGCGGCGAGCGAACGGGGAGGAGCCCAGAGCCUGAAUCAGCAUGUGUGUUAGUGGAAGCGUCUGGAAAGGCGCGCGAUACAGGGUGACAGCCCCGUACACAAAAGCGCAUGUGCUGUGAGCUCGAUGAGUAGGGCGGGACACGUGGUAUCCUGUCUGAAUAUGGGGGGACCAUCCUCCAAGGCUAAAUACUCCUGACUGACCGAUAGUGAACCAGUACCGUGAGGGAAAGGCGAAAAGAACCCCGGCGAGGGGAGUGAAAAAGAACCUGAAACCGUGUACGUACAAGCAGUGGGAGCACAGGUUUACCUGUGUGACUGCGUACCUUUUGUAUAAUGGGUCAGCGACUUAUAUUCUGUAGCAAGGUUAACCGAAUAGGGGAGCCGGAGGGAAACCGAGUCUUAAUUGGGCGUUAAGUUGCAGGGUAUAGACCCGAAACCCGGUGAUCUAGCCAUGGGCAGGUUGAAGGUUGGGUAACACUAACUGGAGGACCGAACCGACUAAUGUUGAAAAAUUAGCGGAUGACCUGUGGCUGGGGGUGAAAGGCCAAUCAAACCGGGAGAUAGCUGGUUCUCCCCGAAAGCUAUUUAGGUAGCGCCUCGUGAAUUCAUCUCCGGGGGUAGAGCACUGUUUCGGCUAGGGGGCCAUCCCGGCUUACCAACCCGAUGCAAACUGCGAAUACCGGAGAAUGUUAUCACGGGAGACACACGGCGGGUGCUAACGUCCGUCGUGAAGAGGGAAACAACCCAGACCGCCAGCUAAGGUCCCAAAGUCAUGGUUAAGUGGGAAACGAUGUGGGAAGGCCCAGACAGCCAGGAUGUUGGCUUAGAAGCAGCCAUCAUUUAAAGAAAGCGUAAUAGCUCACUGGUCGAGUCGGCCUGCGCGGAAGAUGUAACGGGGCUAAACCAUGCACCGAAGCUGCGGCAGCGACGCUGAUGCGUUGUUGGGUAGGGGAGCGUUCUGUAAGCCUGUGAAGGUGGCCUGUGAGGGUUGCUGGAGGUAUCAGAAGUGCGAAUGCUGACAUAAGUAACGAUAAAGCGGGUGAAAAGCCCGCUCGCCGGAAGACCAAGGGUUCCUGUCCAACGUUAAUCGGGGCAGGGUGAGUCGACCCCUAAGGCGAGGCCGAAAGGCGUAGUCGAUGGGAAACGGGUUAAUAUUCCCGUACUUGGUGUUACUGCGAAGGGGGGACGGAGAAGGCUAUGUUGGCCGGGCGACGGUUGUCCCGGUUUAAGCGGGUAGGUGUGUGUUCCAGGUAAAUCCGGUUCACUUUAACACUGAGGCGUGACGACGAGGCACUACGGUGCUGAAGCAACAAAUGCCCUGCUUCCAGGAAAAGCCUCUAAGCAUCAGGUAACAUCAAAUCGUACCCCAAACCGACACAGGUGGUCAGGUAGAGAAUACCAAGGCGCUUGAGAGAACUCGGGUGAAGGAACUAGGCAAAAUGGUGCCGUAACUUCGGGAGAAGGCACGCUGACACGUAGGUGAAGUGAUUUACUCAUGGAGCUGAAGUCAGUCGAAGAUACCAGCUGGCUGCAACUGUUUAUUAAAAACACAGCACUGUGCAAACACGAAAGUGGACGUAUACGGUGUGACGCCUGCCCGGUGCCGGAAGGUUAAUUGAUGGGGUCAGCGCAAGCGAAGCUCCUGAUCGAAGCCCCGGUAAACGGCGGCCGUAACUAUAACGGUCCUAAGGUAGCGAAAUUCCUUGUCGGGUAAGUUCCGACCUGCACGAAUGGCGUAAUGAUGGCCAGGCUGUCUCCACCCGAGACUCAGUGAAAUUGAACUCGCUGUGAAGAUGCAGUGUACCCGCGGCAAGACGGAAAGACCCCGUGAACCUUUACUAUAGCUUGACACUGAACAUUGAGCCUUGAUGUGUAGGAUAGGUGGGAGGCUUUGAAGCGUGGACGCCAGUCUGCGUGGAGCCGACCUUGAAAUACCACCCUUUAAUGUUUGAUGUUCUAACGUGGACCCGUAAUCCGGGUUGCGGACAGUGUCUGGUGGGUAGUUUGACUGGGGCGGUCUCCUCCUAAAGAGUAACGGAGGAGCACGAAGGUUGGCUAAUCCUGGUCGGACAUCAGGAGGUUAGUGCAAUGGCAUAAGCCAGCUUGACUGCGAGCGUGACGGCGCGAGCAGGUGCGAAAGCAGGUCAUAGUGAUCCGGUGGUUCUGAAUGGAAGGGCCAUCGCUCAACGGAUAAAAGGUACUCCGGGGAUAACAGGCUGAUACCGCCCAAGAGUUCAUAUCGACGGCGGUGUUUGGCACCUCGAUGUCGGCUCAUCACAUCCUGGGGCUGAAGUAGGUCCCAAGGGUAUGGCUGUUCGCCAUUUAAAGUGGUACGCGAGCUGGGUUUAGAACGUCGUGAGACAGUUCGGUCCCUAUCUGCCGUGGGCGCUGGAGAACUGAGGGGGGCUGCUCCUAGUACGAGAGGACCGGAGUGGACGCAUCACUGGUGUUCGGGUUGUCAUGCCAAUGGCACUGCCCGGUAGCUAAAUGCGGAAGAGAUAAGUGCUGAAAGCAUCUAAGCACGAAACUUGCCCCGAGAUGAGUUCUCCCUGAGACUUAAAGUCUCCUGAAGGAACGUUGAAGACGACGACGUUGAUAGGCCGGGUGUGUAAGCGCAGCGAUGCGUUGAGCUAACCGGUACUAAUGAACCGUGAGGCUUAACCUU
rnacentral:rRNA from 1 species